UUAACGGUAUGUUUUCAACUAGCUCGUGAUCUAAACUACACGAGGAGGAAAUCUGAAUGUUGAAUUGGCGAAAUUAGGUGCCGAAGAAGUAUUCGUUAAAGUGGUGGGAAUCCCAGCAUUAGAUGGAGUAGGACUAGGAUGGGCACCUGGAAGAUCUCUGAAUUGAAUCUGUGGGGUAGAUGAAUUGUUGUGCCAUAAAACGCUACCGGUUGAGCCUAAACCG